AUCAUUAAAUUUCUUUUGAAAAAAUUUCAAAUUGAAUAUUUCAAUUUUGCCUUUUCUGUUAGAAAAUAAUACUAUAAAAAAUAAGAUAUAAUUUGUUUAAAUUGAGUAUAAUCUAAUAACAUUAUAUUUUUUGGUUAUUUUUUAUACAAUAUAAAAAUAAUAAAUAUAAUUAUAACAUUUUAUUCUUAUCCGGUUAACAGGAUGGAGAUAUGCAGCAUUUGUAGGUACAUUUGUAGGAACUAUAGGAAUAUUUUGUUAUUUUACAAUGAUAAGUCCUAUGAUUAAUCCAGAGCCAUAUA